GCUUCCCACCUAGCCCAAGUGCGGCACGUGCAAUUUUAAUGAAAGUAUUCAUCUUAAAAAUUGCACAUAGCGCAAUUACGAAAGCCUGUACGAAGUACCUCUCAAAUAAAACAAAAAUUUACGAAAUUGGUUGAGUUUUACUCAAUUUAUGGGAAA